rnacentral:lncRNA from 1 species
AGCGUCAGGUGUUUGGGUUUCAUUUGAAGGAUUGGUUGUUGAAGGUGGAGGGACGCGGAGUUCGUCGGCGGUAAGGGGAAUUAUUUUGCUUCUUAAUUUUUUAGCACGAAGGACUUUCGCCCGAUCGUGUGGAGGAAUGUCAAGGAGACUCCUCUUUUUUGGGGUUGGUUCAGAAGUUGGUGGGGUUGGUUCAGAGGUUGUUGUUGUGGGUUCAGUUGG